GCCGGCAUAGCUCAGAUGGUAGAGCAGCUGAUUUGUAAUCAGCAGGCCACGGGUUCGACUCCUGUUGCCGGCUCCA
rnacentral:tRNA from 1 species